CCUACGGGUGGCAGCAGUGAGGAAUAUUGGUCAAUGGGCGCGAGCCUGAACCAGCCAAGUAGCGUGAAGGAUGACGGCCCUACGGGUUGUAAACUUCUUUUAUAAAGGAAUAAAGUGAGGCACGUGUGCCUUUUUGUAUGGACUUUAUGAAUAAGGAUCGGCUACCUCCGUGCCAGCAGCCGCGGUAAUACGGAGGAUCCGAUCGUUAUCCGGAUUUAUGGGGUUUAAAGGGAGCGUAGAUGGGUUGUUAAGUCAGUUGUGAAAGUUUGCGGCUCAACCGUAAAACUGCAAUUGAUACUUGCAGUCUUGAGUCCCGUUGCGGUAGGCGGACUUCGUGGUGUAGCUGU
rnacentral:rRNA from 1 species